CCAGUGAUGAAGUUCUGUGCUGUCUGUCCACUUCUUCUCUAGUCUCCUGACUAAACUUCAAACACAGAUGCUUCCUACAGCCUGCUACUACUAUCACCAUGUGACAGACCAGGCCCGGAUUCUCCAACAUUUCCGUUUUGAAGGAGGAAGGUCACUCCAUACCUGUUCUGAGGCUGACACGUAGUUCUUGGAUCUGAUAUGAUUGAGCUCCUUGAGUGGUACCUUUACAAAUGGAACUAUCUUCAUGUCAACCUCAGGUGUGACCCCUGAGCUGCAAUGAAGCAGAGGUCCUCUGUGUGCUGAACUACAGUGGUGAGAAACAACAGACCAAAGACAGAUUUCAUCAUAUUCUAUCAAAGACCUAAUAGACCCAAGAUAUUUCUUCAAAACCAAGAAGAGAAGUUAACAUGAAUUUAUACAUCUUUUUUAACUUUAAUGAAACAUUACAAUUAUUGUACUUGCCAAAAGAUACAUGGUUGGAAUGAAAAUGGAAAAUUCCAUUACCCUUUUUUGUACCUCAAGUGUGGCUGAUGGACCAUUUGAGAUGAUCAUGAUCUAUCAUCCAUCUAUCUAUUUAUUUAUAUAUACAUAUAUAUAUAUGUAUAUAUAUAUGUCAUCUCUUUUCUAUCAUGUGUCUAUCAUGUAUUAUCUGUUUAACAUAUCAAAUAAAUCUUUAUAAUUUAACCCUUCAUUUUUUAUUAUUCUGUCAUCAGAUGCAAUAUUAAAGAAAGUAAUCAUCUUAGUUAACUAUAAAACCAUGGACAUGGUUUCAUGUUUUCACUAUUUGUUAUUUGUGUGACACAUACAGUUUUUUAUUUUCAUUUUAAUGGCCUUUAAAAUGCAUUUAAAUGCAAGGAUAUUGCAUUAUAUAUCAAUUGGACACUGUAGCUUCUUUAGAACAGAUGUUGCUUUGAGUCCAGAGACACCUUGCACACAGCUUUAAGCAUGAUAAAUGUUCCAAACUGUCUGGUAUUAACAAUGUCCCAUCAUCCCACUGUUGACUGUUCCAUACCCAAGCAUGUGAUGUAGCUGUUUGCCUCUUGAGACCAGAGUUAGUCUCUGGAUAUUGAGGGAGCCUGAGAAGUGCUAGGUCAUAACGAUAUUCUUUGUGCUCGUGUUCAUAAUCUACAGGGAACUUUCUGGAAGUCCUCAAUGUUUCCAGCUGUAUCGAGUUAGUUCAAACUUUAAGAUGGAGAUGAGUGGACUUGAGGAAAAAAAGAGAUAUUGUGAAGCUUUUUCACUAGGAUUGACCAUCCCUCAACUGAGGUUCCCCACCCCUGCUUUAUCUAGUCAUUCUCUUCUCAGUGUCCUCAUGUGACUACAGCCAGGUGUAGCAACAAUGGUUCCUAAACUGUGAGCCAUAGGAAGUAAAAAUGGAGUAAAAAUAUUUUUCAUCUGCCAAGUAAGUAUUUUUAUUCCAUGGGCAUAGCAUUUUUUUGUAUUUAAAAUGACAGAUCCUGUCACAAAGGUUCUUAAUAUUAUAUUGAAAAGAUAUCUGUAAUACAGUAGAGGUUAAAAAACUCAUUUAUUUAUAAGACUCUCAGGUCCUGGAGAGGUCUGCUACCUCUUUCUCCCUGCAGACAGUUAAUAUCGUUGAAAAUAAAAAGCUGUUAUAUUAUAUGACAAGCACACUGGUAUUAAAAACAAACACAGCCUGGUUUCAGUAAUGUGUUCCAGGGCUAGUGAACUGUUGGUUCAAAAUGGAACAAAACCAGGAGUAUGUUUCCAUUUUAUUUUUGAAUUUUCCCCACUAUUGAUGCAUUUGUUCUUAUACAUCUGAUUCAUCAGAAAGUAAUAAAAUUAACUAUGGAAAUAAAAUAGUGGGAUUCAUUCUGACAUUCCUAGGUUCAGACUACAAAAUCAUCUAUGAGGCCAUGAAGGAGGCAAACUGAGGGAUGGAGUCUGCUGGGGAAGAAAUACCCUCAUGUAGGGUACUGAGAGGUUCAUGACUUUAGGAAAGCAAGCAACAGAACUUUAAAAAGUGUAUUCCAAUGAAAAGGGAGUCGCAUCCUCAUCCCUGUAGCUUGUCUUGGCCUUGAUUACUUCAUUCCUGAAUCUCUGGAGAUAGUUGAAAGAGUGAGGGUCUCAGAGAGUAGAAUGCAAUAUUUGAUGGUGAUGGGGAACCCAAAGUGUCACAGAAACAUUUCCACAUCUGAUCAUUCUUUCACCAGGACUUGCUGCGUCUGGUACCAUGGUUCUCAAACCUAAGCUUACAGGAUCCUAAAAUUGUGUCAAAGACCACACGAUAGACUGUUGAGUGGUGAAGGGCAGAGGGACUAUAGUGGCUGCUACAGACUGGUUGGUUGUUUAAAGACUCACUUGGAGGUACAUUCUAGGCAUGUUCAGAAGAGAAGGAACAAAAACCCAAAGUGACAUUCAGUGGGGAAAUGGCUAUCCCAUUCCAUGCAAACAUGCAGCAGAUCAGAGGAAAUACAUGCUCCAGCCCCUGUGAACAGCACAAUACCCCAUUUAAUUUUCCUGCUUUAACCCAAGGUUCAUCAAAAGUGGGGAAGAAACAGCUGGAGGGAUGGUGAUAAUUUCAGUUUUUAAUUUGUUUGCCCAGCUGCAGUUCUUCUUCAUUCAAGCCAAUGUUUUCAGCUUCCUACCUUCCACUUGGGUCUGAGGACAAACCAAAUUAGAUUGAAAGCUGUAGUCAUUUGAGGACAUGGAUUACCUUAGAUGAAUUUAUUUAGGAAGGAUUUGCUCUGUACUUUCCUAGGAAAGAUGGGGCAGACAGUGGCUGGCAACAUCUAACAUCCACAUCUUUGAAGCAUCUGCAAUCAGGGAAGAGGAAGGAGAGGAACACACAGGGGUCUUCUGAGCAGAGAUAACUGAGGCAUACAGAUUGCUACAAAACUUUGUAUGGGAAACAGAUAAUCUUACUUAAAUACAGUACCAUUUGUUUUGUUUAAAUCACAUGAAUAAAAUGUUGCAUAUAGUUAUUCUAGUGGAAUGGAGAUCUAGUUAUAAAUACAACCACAAAUGUAAGUACAAUAUCUUUUGCCUAAUUUUCAAAAGAAAUUAUAAUAAAAAACUUAUUUUUAUCAAAUUUGAGAUUGGGGAUAGUAUUUCUUAGUUCAGCCAUUCCUAGAUUUAUCUUGUAAACUAUGGUAAAGUGUCCAUAAACAAUAUUGGUUUAAAAGUAGUUAUAAGAGAUGUUAGAUGUUUAUUUCCAGAGUCUUGGGAAAAAUGGAUACAGGCCAGACUUUCUAUCAUUUUUAGUUUGCUGGUUCUGUAGGAGGAGUAAAGCAGUGGAAUCCAUAGGGAUUUCUGGUUUAAUCUCCAAUAGAAUCCUUUCUGAAAUCCAUCUUUCAUUCCUCUGCUUGGCCUUGCAGACAGAUUUCUCAGGACAGUAUGUGAGAGCUUGGGUUGCUGUGAGAACCAGUCAUGAGCAGAUACUUUGGGAGAAAGGGAAUGUGAAUUGUGAAGGACCCUUCUGUGCUUUAUUUCCUUAAUACUUCUAGAAAAUGCUGUGGUUUUAGGAAUACUUGGUUGAUCUGCUUAUGUUAAUGCUACUGCCAGUUUUAAUUUUUAAGGAUUUAGACAGGGCUAGACUCCUAAAUUUGAGUCUGAAUAGGUGGCUGAGAUUUUCCAUGGCAAGACUUUUAGCUCUGUGUCCAGUUCACUUAGAUGUGUUUCUUCAUUAAAACCAUGGUGUUUGUGACAAGUUAUGACUACCUUCAUUAUUACUUUUAAAACUAUGUGUGUAUAUUGUGGUUUAUAACUUUGAAAAAUCCCAUGCCCAAACCACUAAGCAAGAAUGAGAAUUCUUUCUUGACAUCACAAUGGGCUGUCUGGGGGGAUGAAACCAAACAGAGAUGGUGAUAAAAAUUAAUAAUCAUCGGUCUUGUGGAGAAAGCUUUAAAGAUGGUGUGCAAUUAUGAUGAAGAGGUUUCAUUCAUGGUUGCUGUGGGAUGUCUUUCUGUAUAUUCUGCUGUGAAUAUGUGUUGUUUCCAUAGGUUAAGAAAUGGACUGCUUUGGUCUAUGGCAAGGCAGCUUAUAGGCAGGUGAAAUCCAGGACAGAGACAAGAAAAGUAGAGGUACAGGCAGAGAGGAGAUGCCAGCCGCCGCCAAGAGAAGCAAGAUGUGAAAGUACCAGUAAGCUGUGGCCACGUGGCAAUUUAUAGAUCAAUAGAAAUGGGUUCAGUUAUAAGAACUAGCUAGCAAGAAGCCUGAGCCAUUAGGCCAUACAGUUUGUAAAUAAUAUAAGCCUCUCUGUGUUUACUUGGGUCUGAGUGGCUAUGGGCCUGAGAGGGACUGGAGAAACCUUCCGACUACACAUGAUGGAAUUGAGUUUCAUGUCUUCCAAAAUCCAUUCAUUAAAUGCCAAAGAUAUAGAAUCUACUUAAUAGAUAUUUCACCAGGGUCAGGGCACAAACAGAAAACUUUGUCUUUACUGUGAAAUAAUAAAUAAAUAAAUAAAUAAAUAAAUAAAUAAGUACUGUCAAGCCAACAUAUUCAAAAAGCUAAGCAAGAGCAAGAAAUGCAGGUCUCAGUUGGGGUGUCUCAACUGGUGCCAGCAACCACUGAGGCACAAAAUAUCCUCAAAACCCAGAGAUCUCUACUCCACUAUCUGGUGACCAAUAAACAUUAGUCCUGAUGGACUCUGUUGCGGAAAUGCUCUAUGUACUUAGAUUCAUGUUUUCCCAGGCAUGUCUCUGGGGAUGCAACCCUUCUGUUUUUAAUAGUAUACGUUUAACAUAUCUAAGACAUGCUAUUGAUUGUCAAAACAACCAUAUAGAAUGGUUUGCUCUUCUCUAAGAGACACUUUCCCUAGGUUUAGACAUUCUGACCAAAUCUGCAUAUUUUAAAAUGUCUUUAACAUUUUCAAUGUGCUAGGAUGAGCAACAGUUCAAUCAAGCAAAUGGUCAGAGAUCAAUCAGACUCAGAGUUAAGACGGUUGAAUAAGAGAGCUGGCAAUUUCAUGGUCCUUUUUUCUUUUAAGUUUCUUUAGAGACCAAAUGAGAUAAAUUAUUAUCUGACCCACUGCUUGGGGAUAAACGUUAAAUGGUUUAUCUGGGCAACCCAAUCACCUCCAGACAGACUGGAGAAUUGGCCUAAAUAAUGAAGGUGUGUGUCAUUCAUCUCUUUGUCUGGCUCCUGGUAACCUUGACGGGAGUGAGUGGAGACAUGCUGAUUUGUAUACACUCAAUAAUUCAAGGUGUUUGCUUAUCUUUCCUUGUCAGAUGCUGCUCAUCCAUAGUCUAUGUCACCAUCUAAUUAGACUUUUUUUUUAACUUUGCCUUUCACAUAAACCUUUCUUUUUUG